UACGAAGGGUGCUAGCGUUGUUCGGAAUUACUGGGCGUAAAGAGCGCGUAGGCGGUUAUCCAAGUCAGGGGUGAAAUCCCGGAGCUUAACUCCGGAACUGCCUUUGAAACUGUAUAGCUGGAGUAUGUGAGGGGAUAGCGGAAUUCCUAAUGUAGAGGUGAAAUUCGUAGAUAUUAGGAGGAACACCGGUGGCGAAGGCGGCUAUCUGGCACAUAACUGACGCUGAGGCGCGAAAGCGUGGGGAUCAAACAGG
rnacentral:rRNA from 1 species